AUUCUUGCCCUUGGGGCAAUGACGCAGCUAGUGAGGUACUAACCGGGACGCGUCUAUUGCUAGUUGAAAACUAUUUCCAAACCCUCUAUUCGGCCUGGGUUUUGUCUAGGCCAUAGAGAAUUUCUGGAAGGGCUCCCUAAAGGGUGAAGCU
rnacentral:snRNA from 1 species